AGAGUUUGAUCCUGGCUCAGGACGAACGCUGGCGGCGUGCCUAAUACAUGCAAGUAGAACGCUGAAGGAGGAGCUUGCUUCUCUGGAUGAGUUGCGAACGGGUGAGUAACGCGUAGGUAACCUGCCUGGUAGCGGGGGAUAACUAUUGGAAACGAUAGCUAAUACCGCAUAAGAGUAGAUGUUGCAUGACAUUUGCUUAAAAGGUGCAAUUGCAUCACUACCAGAUGGACCUGCGUUGUAUUAGCUAGUUGGUGAGGUAACGGCUCACCAAGGCGACGAUACAUAGCCGACCUGAGAGGGUGAUCGGCCACACUGGGACUGAGACACGGCCCAGACUCCUACGGGAGGCAGCAGUAGGGAAUCUUCGGCAAUGGACGGAAGUCUGACCGAGCAACGCCGCGUGAGUGAAGAAGGUUUUCGGAUCGUAAAGCUCUGUUGUAAGAGAAGAACGAGUGUGAGAGUGGAAAGUUCACACUGUGACGGUAUCUUACCAGAAAGGGACGGCUAACUACGUGCCAGCAGCCGCGGU
rnacentral:rRNA from 1 species